AGCAGCCGCGGUAAUUCCAGCUCCAAUAGCGUAUAUUAAAGUUGUUGCAGUUAAAAGCUCGUAGUUGAAUUUCGGGGUUAGUAGGCUGGUCAUGCCUCUGGUAUGUACUGGUCUCACUGAUUCCUCCUUCCUGAUGAGCCGUAAUGCCAUUAAUUUGGUGUUGCGGGGAA
rnacentral:misc_RNA from 1 species